rnacentral:rRNA from 1 species
UACGGGGGGAGCAAGCGUUGUUCGGAUUUACUGGGCGUAAAGGGCUCGUAGGCGGCCAACUAAGUCAGACGUGAAAUCCCUCGGCUUAACCGGGGAACUGCAUCUGAUACUGGAUGGCUUGAGUUCGGGAGAGGGAUGCGGAAUUCCAGGUGUAGCGGUGAAAUGCGUAGAUAUCUGGAGGAACACCGGUGGCGAAGGCGGCAUCCUGGACCGACACUGACGCUGAGGAGCGAAAGCGUGGGGAGCGAACAGG